CUGCCUUGGAGUGGGGAAUAACGGCUGGAAACAGCCGCUAAUACCGCAUGAUGCAUCUGAGUCGCAUGGUUUGGAUGCCAAAGAUUUAUCGCUCUGAGAUGAGCUCGCGUCUGAUUAGCUAGUUGGCGGGGUAACGGCCCACCAAGGCGACGAUCAGUAGCCGGACUGAGAGGUUGGCCGGCCACAUUGGGACUGAGACACGGCCCAGACUCCUACGGAAGGCAGCAG
rnacentral:rRNA from 1 species